CCUGACCGGAAGUAAAUAAUCACACAUAUGCAGCGUCAACCAUAUCGAUUUAACGUCGACAUUUGGCAUUUGUCUUCUGGAUUUUUAGCAACGUACAGUUCCAAAGGAUAUUGUACAUGUUCAUUAGACAAGCAGUUAGCCAAUAGCAGAUACAUUGGGGGAGAAUGACGUGUCAGAUAAAGAAAAGUGAAUUCAGUAAUAUAGAAUAUGUGGUACUGAACAAAUACGAGCAUGACUCAGAAACCCCUCCAGCCCCUAGACACAAAGGUUUGAAGGGUGACAUUGGCAACAUAAUACUCCUUACAAUCCUUUACAUGCUUCAAGGCGUCCCACUCGGUCUUAGUGGGAGCAUUCCAUUGAUCUUGCAGAGCAGAAAAGUCAGUUACGAAGAACAGGCCAAAUUCAGUUUCAUUGACUGGCCAUUCAGUCUAAAAUUGAUAUGGGCACCCAUAGUGGAUUCUUUAUACUUUCCGCGAUUCGGACGAAGGAAAACGUGGAUGGUUCCAACCCAGUAUCUUAUCGGGAUUUUCUUGAUCUAUCUAUCAACAAGAAUUGACAACAUCCUUGGAAAUGACAAUGGGAAAGUGGGCUCAGGAACCAUGGAUCUGAAUACGCUGUUUGUGGUGUUCUUUGUACUAAAUUUUCUUGCAGCUACUCAAGACAUAUCAGUAGAUGGCUGGGCCAUUAGCAUGCUUCAAAGACACAAUGUAGGCUGGGCCAGCACCUGUAAUGCUGUUGGGCAGACUGCCGGCUACUUCCUUGGUAAUGUAGUUCUUCUGGUGCUCGAGUCUGCAGACUUUUGUAACAAGUACAUCCGAAGUCAACCUUCCAAUGUCGGGAUAAUCACAUUUUCAGGUUUUCUUUACUUCUGGGGCCUGGUGUUUUUCGUCACUACGUCCCUAGUGUGGAUAUUCAAAUCAGAGAGGACUGACCCUGAGGUUGACCCUGACCAGAGCAUUGUGACAACCUACAAGCAGCUGUAUAGGGUCAUCAAACUGAAACCUGUUAUCUCAUACUGUGUAAUACUCAUGACAUGUAAGAUCUGCUUCAAAGCUGCUGACACUGUGGCCAGAUUCAAACUCAUUGAUGCUGGCAUUUCCAAGGAAACCAUUGCCCUGUAUGCGGUGCCACUGGUUCCCAUCCAGCUCAUUUUACCCUUUGUCAUAGCAAGAAAGACAUCCGGUCCCCGGCCUCUAGACAUCUUUUUGAAGGGAUUUCUACCCAAGUUAUCGAUGACAGUGUUCAUGGCCUAUCUAGUCCAUCUUGCUUUCAAUGUGAUAGAUGCGAAGGGAAAUGUGCCCAUGUAUUUCUACAUACUCCUGCUAGCAUGGAAUUGUAUCAACGAAGUGUUUUGCACAAGUUUUUUCGUGGCCAAAAUGGCAUUCCACGCCAAAGUGAGUGACCCUGUAAUAGGAGGCACCUACAUGACUCUGUUAAACACCAUCAGCAACCUGGGUGAUAGUUGGCCUGCCACUGUUGCAUUGUGGGCAGUUGGAGGACUCACGUGGAAGUCAUGUGACCAGGCAGGGAUUAGGUCUUGUGACUCAGCAUCUGGAGCUCAGGAAUGUUCAGCUGCUGUUGGACAUUGUGUAAUAGCUGUUGAUGGAUUCUACAUUGAAUGUUUUGUGUGUGUGGUUAUAGGUGUCCUAUGGUAUUUAUGGAAAAAACACAAAGUCCGUUUGUUAGAUGCCUUGGAUGUUAAAGAAUGGAAAAUUUCAUUAAGUUGAAGCGUUUGCUUAAUUUUUUAUAGGGCCUAGACUGGAUUUGUAAAGAGAUUUUCUUUUAACAAAAAAAUCUGUAAAAGUGCGAAAUGCACAGGCUAAUCUGGAAGGACACUUUGUGCACAUGCAUUAAUCCCAGUUUUCAUAUAAUGUAUCUUUUAUUUUCUUAUUAUUGAGUUAUCAAGGCCAUGAUAUUCUUUUUGUUCUAAUGAUAUCUCAUCCACUUCCUAAAAUAGUCAUGAAAACAUCACUAACGCUACUCAUUGCAGUAAAGUUCCACCAAGUCUCAGGUGAAUUAUUACAUUUGGCAAUCUUUUUAAGGAAUAUACAUGAUGUUUAGCUCAGUGUUUUCGGAGAAAACCCGAGGUAUUGUCAUAGCCAGCUCGUCGUCCGACGUCCCCCGUAGGCGUCGUGCUAAAACCUUAACAUUGGCUCUAAAAUCAAAGUGCUUUCACCUACAACUUUGAAACUUCAUAUGUAGAUGCACCUUGAUGAGUUCUACACGCCACACCCAUUUUUGGGUCACUAGGUCAAAGGUCAAGGUCACUGUGACCGCUAAUAUAAAACUUUAACAUAAACCUUAACAUUCGCUCUAAAAUCAAAGUGCGUCCACCUACAACUUUGAAACUUCAUACGUAGAUGCACCUUGAUGAGUUUUUCACGCCACACCCAUUUUUGGGUCACUAGGUCAAAGGUCAAUUUCACUGUGACCUCUAAAAAAAUAAAAAAAAUUGGACAAGCUUUCAUUUAUUCAAAACUGCACCGUAGCCGAGCGUGGCACCCGUUAUGUGGUGCUCUUGUUUUGACACAAUUGAACAAAUGUAUUACUCAUCUUAAUUGUUUGAGUGAUAUUGAAAUACAAAUGUUUAUAUAUACACACAUUUGUAUUAGAUGAUUUUGGUUGCAUGGCCAGUAUCAUUUAUGUUCAGAAUAAUUUGAUGGUGCUAAUAAAAACUUUUGAAAGUAGAAGUGGCAAUUCUUUGUGAUUCUACCUUAAAACAAUAUAUAUUAGAAACAUCCUAAAUAUUAUAUAUUGGAAAUUCAAACAUAUCUGUUCCAUAUUUUCAGUGUUUUGUGUUGCUCUGAUUGUGUUUGUUUCAAGUUUCCCCUUUUCACAAUUGUAUGCAUAUUAGCAAUUUUAUGAAAUUGAACACAUGUAAUUGUUAUUGACCUUGUCUGCAAAUUCAAUAAUUAUCUACCUUUGUCUCGUAGAUGCACCCAUGUAGUAACAUAUUUGUAUAAUCAAUGAUUUUUCAUGAAAAGCUCAUUUACAUCAGUUCUUUUUAUAUAUGCAACUUAUGCAUUCGUCCUAAGUCAUUAGAUACUAAAUAUUGGCUUGAUAUUUUAGAAUGUAAUUAUGAUUGUUGAGAGAUUUAGAACAACAUUUCAAUGUUAUUAAACAAUAGUUUGUAUUGUUAUUAUGUCUGUAAAGUGCCUUUUUAUAAUAAUUACUCAACAAACAUGUUGUUCAUAAAGUGCUAGUUAUUUACUUAUUUUCGUUCACAUGUACAUUUGCAUUUUUGUUUUGAUUGGUUUUAAAUUUGGCGUGCAUGCUUUUCUCUCAAAAUUUGCCUAAAUUAUACAAAAAUACAUACACAUGUGGGAAAGACAAUUACAUUUUUAAUUUUGUUUUUUUUAUCUUGAUUUUACUUGCAUCACACAAAUACAAGUAUUAGGUAAUGGCUACUUUUUCAAGUUUAUUUAUAUGUACAUGUAUA